AGCGAGUUCCAACGAGCUUCUUCGGCAAGCUCCGAUCUUUCUCGGCGAGCUCCGCGAACUCCCAACGAAUCUUCGAACUUCCGUCGAACUCUCGAACUCGCAACAAAUCCUUCGCGCUUGACUCCGACACUUUGUUUCGCUUUAUGUCUUCAUCGUUAUCAUAGUUAAUCCUGCACAAUUAAAACAAAACUUCGAUCGAGACAAUUAAUCCUUAGCAAUUAACCAAGUUGUCCGGCAUGUCAUUGGUCCCUCGACGCUUCGUCUGAUUCUUCGGCGCAUCGUCCUCUCCUGCGGCCUAUUGCCCAAUCGGCCAGUUGACUCCGCAACUCCGAUAUCCUUGGCACAAUACCCGCUCUUCUUGGCCCGAUGCCCGAGUCCACGGCCCGAAGCCUUCUGUCGAUACGUCGACCGAUCCACCGGCCCGACGUCCAAUCUCUUGACAUGUUCCUCCGGCACAACAUGAUUUUCCUGCUUUAAUUGUCUCAUCCUGAUCAAAGCAUCCUGCGUCACUCAAAACGCAGAUUAAAUCAUAAACAUAUAUCAAGUAGUUUCAUCAUCAAAAUACGAGAUUCAACAAAUUCAGCCAUUGACAACUAUUAGUAAAGAAGUUAAGAUUAGUCAAACCUGAUAAUAGAUUUUGAUUUAUUAUGUUGCAGAUCAUGCAAGUGUAAUAAUGUCUGGUAAUCUGAAGUAUUUCAUAGAAAGUAGGGAUACUUGGCAUAAUUAAGGUCAAGUAAUAUUUCUUUUUGAAGCAUGUCGAUGGUCAGUGGCAUUUUUGUACAAUUAUUUGGCUUGAUGUGGAUUUAGUGAAUUUGUCUUGCGGACUGAGGGGAAUCAUGUUGCUCUUUCUUGAUUUUGAGAAACAAUGAAGUGGGCAAUGAAUAGAAAUUUUUAUGCCUCAUGCUGUGCAAUCUCUUGCUUGUCUUGAUCUUUCGGACUGCAUUACUACUUCACCAUCGACAUCAUGGACUCCCUCACACACUUCAUGGAGUUAUGUGUGUUGGUUGCAUGGUCUAUGCAGACCAUUAUGAGGCUCUUGAUUGGUAAAUGCCCAUUUAAUUUCUUUUGUGGUUUUCUUCCUUACUUUGUGAGCAUUAGAGGUUAGCUAUUUACCAAUCUCUUGCUUGAUCUUUCGGACUGCAUUACUACUUCACCAUCGACAUCAUGGACUCCCUCACACACUUCAUGGAGUUAUGUGUGUUGGUUACAUGGUCUAUGCAGACCAUUAUGAGGCUCUUGAUUGGUAAGUGCCCAUUUAAUUUCUUUUGUGGUUUUCUUCCUUACUUUGUGAGCCUUAGAGGUUAGCUAUUUGCAUCAUACCAACUUGACUACUGUAGAUGUUGCUCUUUCUGACUUGAUGUGAGAUGAGACUCAACUUUAUAUGCCUAGAUUAGUGAGGGUUUUUUUUCUAUAAAUUAUUUUUUUCAUUAUUUUAAAUUGCAUAUAUAUAAUAUGCUCCAACAUGAAUCUGAAGUUGAGACUUAUCAUCUGUAUAAUAAUGUGCUAAUCAUCUGGAUGUCCCAACAGAGACCUUUUAUGGUAAGCUGCUUAUAGUGCCUGACCACUGAACACAACAUAUCAACCUACUUGUGCUUUCAUUUCUGUUGUUCCCAAAAAAUAGAACAAACACAGCACUUAUGCAUCAUUUAGGGCUAUAACUGCCCACUAAGAUUAGUCUUUUGUCUCACUGUAAUUCCGUAUUUCUUGAAGUUCAUUACACAGAUCACCAAGCAGCACAGUCGGCAGUUUUAGCUGCAUAUUGACCUCAUCCAGAUUGCAUGUUGCUGCUUGAGUCAUGGAUGCCCUCACCAUUUUGGGCCACUUUUGUAGCUGGUUCAUAGGUGUUGUCUCUAAUGUUAGUUUAUCUCACUACCAAGGCAUUUGUUUUAGGCAAAGAUGUCAAACCUUUUCUUCUUUCUGGUGUACUAACUGUUGUCCUUUGCCUUUCUCUGUUAAAGCACACUAUCAAUCAUACCUGUGUGUUUUUUUACUCGGGUAUGUUCAUGUACGUUACACCACAAUCGUGGACAAUAUAUAUGUAUAUGUUCUUGUUUGCUAU